rnacentral:lncRNA from 1 species
CACAUAAGAAUGAUAUAGUAUAUAUAGCUUAUAAAUCACUAUGACUGUUUUCAAUGCUUUUUCUUUUCAUUUCAUGUUAACUUGAUCCGGAUCAAUUAUUUUUCCGACUUUGGGCUACAUCCCGGUCACGUUUCCGGCCCGUGACGGGGCAAUCGAUAGUAUCACAUUUCCGGCCUGUGAUGGGGCAAUCGAUAGUAUCACAUUUCCAGCCUGUGACGGGGCAAUCGAUAAUAUCAUAUUUCCAGCCUGUGAUGGGGCAAUCAAUAAUAACGAGAUAAGCCCAAAGUCCCUGUUCAUUUAAUCAAUUCACAAACACACAUCCAUUCCCUUUUCCACUUUAUCCGACCUAGACUAACCAUGGUCACGUUUUCAGCCCGUGACAGGGCAAUCAAUAUAAUAUGGUUAGUCCAUGCCACCACAUCCAUAAAUCCAAUUAUGCAGAUAUAGGUUAUACACAUACAUGCAUCCAUCAUAAUUCCAAUCACAAGCCAACACGACCAAAAUAUAAUUUAAUAUAAACUAAUUUUUGCUUUGUCUGGAUCAUAGCAUAUCAAACAUAUAUAGUGCAGAAAUAUGUAUAUCAUGUAGGAUUGGCGUACAAGGAUUCUUACAGAAAUUGUAGACAGACUCAAAUACAGAUCUAGAUCACAACCUACGAGCUGGGGAGCUGAGUCCCCUGAUCAAAAUCUCCUGGCACCGCCGACUCUUCCUCUACAACAUCAAUUAUAAAUCACAACUAAAUUAUUUAAUAUUUAAAUAUUCUAAACCAUAAUUCACAUCUACUAUGGGGUCCAUCACCAGGUCCCCAAACAUCUCAAUCCCUCCAGAUCUAGGGCAGUCGGGGUGGCCCGACUCCCACUCCGUACCACCAGCCUACGUCGUCGCCAGCCGUGGCUGCAGCCACGCCGCGACGAUGAUCGGUCCCAUUGAAGAGACCAAAAGAAUGGAUGAUUCCUCUCUCU